UAGGGAAUCUUCGGCAAUGGACGAAAGUCUGACCGAGCAACGCCGCGUGAGUGAAGAAGGUUUUCGGAUCGUAAAACUCUGUUGUUAGAGAAGAACAAGGACGUUAGUAACUGAACGUCCCCUGACGGUAUCUAACCAGAAAGCCACGGCUAACUACGUGCCAGCAGCCGCGGUAAUACGUAGGUGGCAAGCGUUGUCCGGAUUUAUUGGGCGUAAAGCGAGCGCAGGCGGUUUCUUAAGUCUGAUGUGAAAGCCCCCGGCUCAACCGGGGAAGGUCAUUGGAAACUGGGAGACUUGAGUGCAGAAGAGGAGAGUGGAAUUCCAUGUGUAGCGGUGAAAUGCGUAGAUAUAUGGAGGAACACCAGUGGCGAAGGCGGCUCUCUGGUCUGUAACUGACGCUGAGGCUAGAAAGCGUGGGGAGCAAACAGG
rnacentral:rRNA from 1 species